UAGUUGUCGUUCUGCCUCCCACCAAGCCCGUCCUGCCACUGACGUUGCCGAAUAGAGGAGGGCGACCACCACGAGGAGCCACCGCCGUCCUUGCUCGUCAUCUCCUUUGGAGCCGUCGCCGUCAAGGACCAGCGGAGAGAGAGAACGUGCGACGUUCAGGAAGGAGGAUGCGAGUCAGUGACGCAAGGAGGAGUGCGACCCACUGCGUGAAGUUGUGCCGCCGUGCCUUCCGUCGCCGUCGUGCCUUGGUGCCGUCGAAGGAGCCGCCGCUGGAGGAGGGUUUGCUGGAUGCUACUAUCACCAACAUCGCGGAAUACACGUAGAGUAGAGGAAGAAAGGAUCUUCACCGCGCCAGGUUGUUGUGCUGUGAUCAGAAGCCGUUGCUGUUAGAAAGCCCAUCUGCGGUGAGAGAGAGUUCACGAUGGUUGGAACUAUUGUCCUUUGCUCAGCCCCUGUUUCUGCUACUGUUUAUGUUGGCUCAUCCAUUACGGUCACUGGAGCUGCCCUGAACCCUGUUGUUGCUGCUCCGUUAUUUUAUUAGUGAAGAAUGAUCGGAAAUAAUGCUGCUGCCGUUGAUCGGAGAUGCCAAACUAUUGCUGCUACUACUUUGAGAUGAUAUGACUGCUAUUAAGGUUGUUGUUCAUGAGUGCAGCAUUCCCAAUUUUUAUGGAUUUCGAUACUUUGAGAGACACAGGUACGAAGAUUCAGUUUGAAGCUGCGGGCGAUUCUAGAAUUUAUUUACGAGUUAAGUUUAUGACUUGAGAUUCUUUCAUAGAAUUCCCUCGCCCUUACUGCUUAAGGUUUUUAUUUUAUGCAGAGGGAUAG